CGGAACGGGUGAGUAACGCGUGAGGAACCUGCCUCAAAGAGGGGGACAACAGUUGGAAACGACUGCCAAUACCGCAUAAGCCCACGGCUCGGCAUCGAGCAGAGGGAAAAGGAGCAAUCCGCUUUGAGAUGGCCUCGCGUCCGAUUAGCUAGUUGGUGAGGUAACGGCCCACCAAGGCGACGAUCGGUAGCCGGACUGGGAGGUUGAACGGCCACAUUGGGACUGAGACACGGCCCAG
rnacentral:rRNA from 1 species